rfam:Stomoxys calcitrans breed 8C7A2A5H3J4 unplaced genomic scaffold Scaffold1302, whole genome shotgun sequence.
GCCACCGUGGCGCAGAGGUUAGCAUGACCGCCUGUGACGCCGAACGCCUGGGAUCAAAUCCCGGCGUUAGUA